CCCUCAUGGGUUAAAACAGAAAUUGGUCGGUAGAAUUUAAAAAACCAAAUCUCAAGAAAGCCACACCAUAAACGGGUAGUCAGGAGAGUGACGGCAUUCGCCAGAGGAUUAAAAAUAUUGUAAACAAGAAUGGAACUUCCACUGGGACUGACUCACAAUACAUACAUCAUGUAGUCAGCUGUGACAAGUACUGGAAUGAUGUGUAUUGUUUAGAGUAAACUCAAUAAUAUGAUUUUUGUCACAACGUU